rnacentral:tRNA from 1 species
GGGUAGAGCUCAGGGGUAGAGCAUGUGCUUAGCAUGCACAAAGUCCUGGGUUCCAUCCUUAGUACCUCCA